AGCGUCCUCUUGAUGAAUUUAGUCUUGCAAUUGCGCGGGAAAUUGAGCGGCAGGUAUUCAGGUUAUUCCUGUCUCGAAUAUACUUUGGAAUAAGAGUAUAAAAUUGUUGCACGCAAUCUUGUCAACUAUGUCGAGUCCUAUGAGACCGCCGAGGACCCCUGUUCCGCAGGAUGAUGAUGGUUCGACGAACGGCACGCCAAGGCGACAGCCUCGGACUCCGACCUCUGUCAGAGCUCCUUCGGUUGCUGGUACACCUAGCACCAUUGGUUCUACUUCUAUGAGACAAGGUACGCCUCAGAGGAGACCAGGCAAUAAUCCGGUAGACACUCCGUUACGAUGGGGCAGCCGUCACGCACAGGAGACCAUUGCACCAUCAUCGGAGGGUCUUUCCUCUGUGCCAUUGUCUUCUCCGAAUCGAUUGGUACAAACAAGCCCUCUUGCUGCGGGUAUGAGCGAAGCAGAGUUAUCUUCUCCUUUGAAUUAUGGAACACCUAGCUCCUUGGCAUCAGUUCGCACUCCUCGCAGUGGUAUUAGAGGUACACCAGUGCGACAGAGGCCAGAUGUUCAGUCUGACAGACGUAUGCGACAAGUUAAUUUGGCUGAAAUACCAGAAGAAUCCAAUGUUCAAAGAACAUCAGAAACUGAAAAUGGUCCGCAGUUAGUCAUCUGGGGUACAAAUGUUGUAGUAGAUCAAUGUAAAGAACAAUUUAAACGAUUUAUCUUACGAUUUAUCGAUCCGGAAGCAGAGAAUGACGAAUUGCCUGAGAACAUGAAUCUAUCAGAUCCACUUUACUUGCAAAAGCUUGAAGAGAUACAUACGCUCGAAGAACCUUACCUGAAUGUAAACUGUGCUCAUCUCGAGGCAUUUGAUGAACAGCUUUACAAUCGAUUGAUAUGCUAUCCACAAGAAGUGAUACCAGCUUUUGACAUGACUGCAAAUGAAAUGUUCUUUGAAAGAUAUCCUGCAGCGGUGUUGGAGCAUCAAAUUCAAGUACGGCCCUACAAUGCUACCAGAACCAAAAGCAUGCGUCUCCUGAAUCCUGAAGACAUAGAUCAGUUGAUUACGAUCACUGGUAUGGUUAUUAGAACAUCGAAUAUUAUGCCGGAAAUGCGAGAGGCGUUCUUCAAGUGUAUUGUGUGCUCUUUUACGACGACGGUAGAAAUCGACAGAGGUCACAUAGCUGAACCAACGGUGUGUACACAUUGCAACAACAAUUACUGCUUCAACUUGAUACACAAUCGCAGUCAUUUCUCUGACAAGCAAAUGAUUAAGCUGCAAGAAUCGCCGGACGAUAUGCCAGCUGGUCAAACUCCUCAUACAGUGGUACUUUUCGCACAUAAUAAUUUAGUUGAUGCUGUUUCACCAGGUGACAGAGUUUCCGUCACUGGUAUAUAUCGUGCCUUACCGAUACGCGUUAAUCCGCGACAAUCUAAUGUACGCGCUAUUUACAGAACGCACGUUGACGUUGUCCACUUCAGAAAACAAGAUUCGAAGCGACUGUACGAGCAAGAGGAAGGCAAGGAUCAUGCAUUUCCACCAGAGAGAAUAGAAUUAUUAAAACUCUUGUCACAAAAGGAGGACGUGUAUGAACGAUUGGCACGUCACAUUGCUCCCAGCAUCUAUGAAAACGAGGAUGUGAAGAAGGGAAUAUUGUUGCAAUUAUUCGGCGGGACAAAGAAAGAACAAAGUAAAUCGAGUAAGAAAUAUUUUCGGUCCGAAAUAAAUAUACUUUUAUGUGGAGAUCCAGGUACAAGUAAAUCGCAGCUGCUACAAUUCGUCUUUAAUCUGGUACCGCGCUCGCAAUAUAGUAGUGGAAAAGGUUCCAGCGCUGUCGGCUUAACUGCAUUUGUAACGAAAGAUCCCGAAAGUCGCCAAUUAGUACUGCAAACUGGCGCCUUAGUUCUUGCCGAUAAUGGUAUCUGUUGCAUUGACGAGUUCGAUAAAAUGAACGAUAGCACGCGCUCGGUGCUGCACGAAGUUAUGGAGCAACAAACAAUGAGUAUUGCGAAAGCGGGUAUUAUUUGUCAAUUAAAUGCGAGAACAAGUAUUUUGGCAGCGGCUAAUCCUUGCGAGUCGCAAUGGAAUAAAAAUAAAACAGUGAUAGAAAAUGUGAUGUUACCACAUACACUAAUGUCACGUUUCGACUUAAUUUUUCUCAUGCUGGAUCCUCAGGACGAGAUAUUUGACAGAAAACUCGCUAGACAUUUGGUAUCAUUGUAUUAUAAAUCUGAUCUAGAGGAAGAGGAUGAUAUUGUAGAUAUGAGCAUUUUACGUGAUUACAUAGCUUAUGCUAAGGAACAUGUUCAUCCUGUUCUCAAUGAGGAGAGCCAACAGAGGCUGAUCCAAGCUUACGUCGAUAUGCGUAGAGUAGGAAGCGGUCAUGGACAAAUCACAGCCUAUCCGAGGCAAUUGGAGUCACUGAUAAGACUCGCUGAGGCACACGCUAAAAUGCGAUUUAGCAAUAUAGUAGAAAUUGUGGAUGUUGAAGAAGCUUGGAGAUUACAUCGGGAAGCGUUGAAGCAAUCGGCUAUUGACCCACUAAGUGGCAAAAUCGAUAUUAGUAUUCUAACGACCGGCAUGUCGUUAGCUGCGAGAAAACGUAGGCAGGAAUUGACGGAAGCGUUGAAGAAGCUCAUUAAGGGCAAAGAUAAGACACCGACGCUAAACUAUCAAAAAAUUUUCACGGAAUUAAAAGAAUCAUCCAGUAUGUUGGUGACGCGUGAAAUGUUUGAAGAUACUCUGAAAGAUUUGCAAGAUAAUGGUGUUGUAAUUGUAACUGGCAAAAAUACCAUUCGUGUUUGUUAAACUUAUUAUUUUUAUUACAAUUUUUGUAGCAUCUUGCGUAGGACAUUUCUGGACGAUUAAUAUGCAGCUGACGUGUAUAUAUGUUUUACGCCUACGCCUCGUGCGCGGGCGUCGCGACGGAGGCGUCGUACUACGUAGUUUUGCUCUUGCGAUGACCUUGGAAACUCCUACGCUCCCUUAAGCGCCGGGUAGUUUUGGUGGGGAUACUCGUUCAUCGACGUCCUACCCACUCACGCCGGGUAACUUCCGCCCCUCCGAAUCACGAUAUUCGCUACGCAUCGAUGGCAGGAGAACCUAGAUCAAAUCAGCUGUUAGGAACGUUGCUAACUCCUGCAAUAAUUUCUCUGUCGCAAUAAUCUUGCUGCAUAAUAUAAGUAUAUGCCAUUAAAUAAUUCUGUCAUUAAAAGAUAAGUACUUCAUACUGAAUGGUUUUUAAUAGAAGCUAAGUGAUGUAUUUUGGAAGCAU